CGGGGAUUGGCGCAGCCUGGAUUAGCGCGCGCGCUUUGGGAGCGCGAGGUCGCCAGUUCGAAUCUGGCAUCCCCGACCA
rnacentral:tRNA from 3 species